rnacentral:rRNA from 1 species
GACGAACUGUCCUAACGUUGUUCGGAAUCACUGGGCGUAAAGGGCGCGUAGGCGGCCUGAUAAGUAGGGGGUGAAAUCCUGCGGCUUAACCGCAGGGCUGCCUUCUAAACUGUCAGGCUCGAGCACAGUAGAGGCAGGUGGAAUUCCCGGUGUAGCGGUGGAAUGCGUAGAGAUCGGGAAGAACAUCAGUGGCGAAGGCGGCCUGCUGGGCUGUUGCUGACGCUGAGGGACGAAAGCUAGGGGAGCGAAUGGG